rnacentral:rRNA from 1 species
UAAUACCGCAUACGCUACGGNGAAANCGGGGGAUCUUCGGACCUCGCGCCAUUAGAUGAGCCUAGGUCGGAUUAGCUAGUUGGUGAGGUAAUGGCUCACCAAGGCGACGAUCCGUAACUGGUCUGAGAGGAUGAUCAGUCACACUGGAACUGAGACACGGUCCAGACUCCUACGGGAGGCAGCAGUGGGGAAUAUUGGACAAUGGGCGAAAGCCUGAUCCAGCCAUGCCGCGUGUGUGAAGAAGGUCUUCGGAUUGUAAAGCACUUUAAGUUGGGAGGAAGGGUAGUAACCUAAUACGUUGCUACUUUGACGUUACCGACAGAAUAAGCACCGGCUAACUUCGUG